UACGAAGGGUGCAAACGUUGCUCGGAAUUAUUGGGCGUAAAGCGCACGUAGGCGGCUCUAUAAGUCGGAUGUGAAAUCCCUCGGCUUAACCAAGGAAGUGCAUCCGAAACUGUGGAGCUUGAGUACUUAAGAGGAUCGCGGAAUUCCCGGUGUAGAGGUGAAAUUCGUAGAUAUCGGGAGGAACACCAGUGGCGAAGGCGGCGAUCUGGGAAGAUACUGACGCUGAGGUGCGAAAGCGUGGGGAGCAAACAGG
rnacentral:rRNA from 1 species